rnacentral:rRNA from 1 species
AUUGAACGCUGGCGGCAUGCCUUACACAUGCAAGUCGAACGGCAGCACGGGUGCUUGCACCUGGUGGCGAGUGGCGAACGGGUGAGUAAUACAUCGGAACGUACCUUAUCGUGGGGGAUAACGCAGCGAAAGCUGUGCUAAUACCGCAUACGCCCUGAGGGGGAAAGCGGGGGAUCGAAAGACCUCGCGCGAUUAGAGCGGCCGAUGCCUGAUUAGCUUGUUGGUGGGGUAAAAGCCCACCAAGGCGACGAUCAGUAGCUGGUCUGAGAGGACGAUCAGCCACAGUGGGACUAAGACACGGCACAGGCUCCUACGGGAGGCAGCAGUGGGGAAUUUUGGACGAUGGGGGCAACGCUGAUCCAGCAAUGCCGCGUGAGUGAAGAAGGCCUUCGGGUUGUAAAGCUCUUUUGUCAGGGAAGAAACACCGGCUCUAACACAGUCCGGGAAUGACGGUACCUGAAGAAUAAGCACCGGCUAACUACGUGCCAGCCGCCGCAGUAA